rnacentral:rRNA from 1 species
CUUACCAUGCAAGUCGAGCGGUAAGGCCUUUCGGGGUACACGAGCGGCGAACGGGUGAGUAACACGUGGGUGACCUGCCCUCCACUUCGGGAUAAGCCUGGGAAACUGGGUCUAAUACCGGAUAGGACCUUCUGGUGCAUGCUGGUUGGUGGAAAGUUUUUUCGGUGGGGGAUGGGCCCGCGGUCUAUCAGCUUGUUGGUGGGGUGAUGGCCUACCAAGGCGACGACGGAUAGCCGGCCUGAGAGGGUGAUCGGCCACACUGGGACUGAGACACGGCCCAGACUCCUACGGGAGGCAGCAGUGGGGAAUCUUGCGCAAUGGGCGGAAGCCUGACGCAGCAACGCCGCGUGGGGGAUGACGGCCUUCGGGUUGUAAACCUCUUUCGCGAUCGACGAAGGCCUGUUUUCUGCAGGUUGACGGUAGGUCGAGAAGAAGCACCGGCCAACUACGUGCCAGCAGCCGCGGUAAUACGUAGGGUGCGAGCGUUGUCCGGAAUUAUUGGGCGUAAAGAGCUCGUAGGCGGUGUGUCGCGUCGGCCGUGAAAACCUGGGGCUCAACUCUGGGCGUGCGGUCGAUACGGGCAUCACUUGAGUUCGGCAGGGGAGACUGGAAUUCCUGGUGUAGCGGUGAAAUGCGCAGAUAUCAGGAGGAACACCGGUGGCGAAGGCGGGUCUCUGGGCCGAUACUGACGCUGAGGAGCGAAAGCAUGGGUAGCGAACAGGAUUAGAUACCCUGGUAGUCCAUGCCGUAAACGUUGGGCGCUAGGUGUGGGGUCCAUUCCACGGGUUCCGUGCCGCAGCUAACGCAU